AACAGGAAGCAGCUUGCUGUUUCGCUGACGAGUGGCGGACGGGUGAGUAAUGUCUGGGAAACUGCCUGAUGGAGGGGGAUAACUACUGGAAACGGUAGCUAAUACCGCAUAACGUCGCAAGACCAAAGAGGGGGACCUUCGGGCCUCUUGCCAUCGGAUGUGCCCAGAUGGGAUUAGCUAGUAGGKGGGGUAACGGCUCACCUAGGCGACGAUCCCUAGCUGGUCUGAGAGGAUGACCAGCCACACUGGAACUGAGACACGGUCCAGACUCCUACGGGAGGCAGCAGUGGGGAAUAUUGCACAAUGGGCGCAAGCCUGAUGCAGCCAUGCCGCGUGUAUGAAGAAGGCCUUCGGGUUGUAAAGUACUUUCAGCGGGGAGGAAGGGAGUAAAGUUAAUACCUUUGCUCAUUGACGUUACCCGCAGAAGAAGCACCGGCUAACUCCGUGCCAGCAGCCGCGGUAAUACGGAGGGUGCAAGCGUUAAUCGGAAUUACUGGGCGUAAAGCGCACGCAGGCGGUUUGUUAAGUCAAAUGUGAAAUCCCCGGGCUCAACCUGGGAACUGCAUCUGAUACUGGCAAGCUUGAGUCUCGUAGAGGGGGGUAGAAUU
rnacentral:rRNA from 1 species